rnacentral:rRNA from 1 species
GCAACCCUUGUUGCCUGUUACAAGUGUCAGGCGAGACUGCCCCCUCACGGGGGAGGAAGGUGAGGAUGACGCCAAGUCAGCAUGUCCCUCUGAUGUCCUGGGCUGCACACGCGCUACAAUCGCCACUACAGCGGGGCGCGACGGGGUAACCCUGAGCAAAUCCUACAAAAGUGGCGCCAGUUCGGAUUGAGGUCUGCAACUCGACCUCAUGAAGCCGGAAUCGCUAGUAAUCGCGGGUCAGCCAUACCGCGGUGAAUACGUUCUCAAGCCUUGUACUCACCGCCCGUCAAGUCAGGGAAGUUGGGAGUGCCCGAAGUAC